UUACCAGAAUGAUCCAAUCUCCUUUCACCUAACAACUAUAUAUAAUAUGAAAAAAUCAUAAAUUGCAAGUCCUUGAAUACAACCAAGCAGCAGAACAAGACAAAAGAUCAAAGCUUAUACGUCAUCUUUCAUUGCCUUUGACUUCUUGUGACCUCCAACAUGCAAUGGCCAAUACAGUAAAUUUACUUCAAUCUAUUCAUAAAACUAAGACGAACAUAUUAUCAUCUAUUGGUUUCCACAACUUAUCCAAGAAAUUCCAAUUUAGUAGGAAGCCAGCUCCUUUUAGUUUGAUCAGCCAUGAAUACUAAUAACGUUGCCUACUGAUUGCACCCAAACCUUGCAUUCUUCACUUAAGACAGCAUACCCAUACAUUUCACCAGGAUACAUAAUUUGUAUGGUCAUUAUGUACAAAAAUGAAGUGCACAAGGAAUAAUUA
rnacentral:misc_RNA from 1 species